GUUCGUUUUUCAACCGAAAAUAGCAAAACCUCAUGAAGUAUAUCGUUGGAGUUUAUAAACUACAUUUAAUUCCCCUGUGCCAUGGUUUGCCAUCUGCGUUUUUUUUAACAAAGCAUGGUUGGUUACAUAUUAUGAAUUUACUUACAAUUUCGGAAUUUUUUUUCUCAAGUAAACGGAAUCAGAAAAAAAAUCACUGUCCUGUGUCGAAUACCUAAAACUUGUCAAAGAAUAUGAAAAGUGUUUGUAGAAAAGUACGGUUUCAUUUUUCAAGUACAACGCUAAUUCAUCGAGUCCAUUGAGUGAAAGAAAAGGCAGGAUGAGCAACUUUUGGGGGAGUCAAUGAAAAAAAUAUGUGGAUUGAGUUUUUUUUUUUUUUUUUUUCAUUGAACUUUUGUUGUCGUCCCUUGAUCCAGAGGACAAAUUUGAAUUAAAUAUUUCGAUGUGAAAACUGUUAAGAUUUUAAAGUUUAAAAUUUUACUAUCAAUUGCAGAAAAUUAUAAAACCAAUGAAUUUCACAUGCACAUUUAUAAAAGCUAGAAUUGUGAUUGCUUAAUCAAGAACACAAUCAUGUACGCAAAUACGACGAUGGAAGCUUUAAACGACCUUGACCAGCUACGUGAAUAUUGAUCAGUCCAUUCAACGUUAUAGUACGUGUGUUCUAUUUUCGCAGGUGUGAGGUCGAAGGUUUGAAUUGACCAAUGAAAACGAUCGUUCCUUAAAGAGUUAAUCUAAUAAAGUUUGUUUGACUGAUUACGUCGCAAUACCUUUCGCUAAGCUUUAC
rnacentral:lncRNA from 1 species